rfam:Hordeum vulgare subsp. vulgare, WGS project CAJW01000000 data, contig: morex_contig_2555888
GUAAUACUUUCUCCGUCUGAAAAUAUUUGUCCUAAAAAGUAUAAAAUGAAUGUAUCUAUAACUAAAAUAAAUCUAGAUACAUCUAUUUUUAUGACAAAUAUUUCUGAACGGAGGGAGUAUUAU